rnacentral:rRNA from 1 species
GAUGAACGCUGGCGGCGUGCUUAAUACAUGCAAGUCGAACGAAUUGAAGAUGUGCUUGCACAUCUGAUGUUAGUGGCGAACGGGUGAGUAAUACAUAGGCAACUUGCCCCAAGGACUGGGAUAACACUUAGAAAUGAGUGCUAAUACCGGAUAGGUAAUACAAAGGCAUCUUAGUAUUAUUAAAGUUGGGUACCCAACACCAUGGGAUGGGCUUAUGCUGUAUUAGCUAGUUGGUGAGAUAAAAGCCCACCAAGGCGAUGAUACAUAGCUGGUCUGAGAGGAUGAACAGCCACAUUGGGACUGAGACACGGCCCAGACUCCUACGGGAGGCAGCAGUAAGGAAUUUUCGGCAAUGGAGGAAGCUCUGACCGAGCAACGCCGCGUGAGUGAUGAAGGCCUUCGGGUUGUAAAGCUCUGUUGUAAAGGAAGAAUGUAUAGAAAAGGAAAUGUUUCUAUAGUGACGGUACUUUACUAGAAAGUCACGGCUUACUACGUGCCAGCCGCCGCCGUAA